rnacentral:rRNA from 1 species
AUGGUAAUUGAUUUCCAUAAAUUAAAUAAAGCUACUAAGAAAGAUCAUUACCCUUUACCUUGUAUUGAUCAAAUGCUAGAAAGGCUAUCCAAACAUACACAUUUCUGCUUUCUAGAUGGUUAUUCUGGUUUCUCUCAAAUACCUGUAUCAGCGGACGAUCAAGCAAAGACCACUUUUACUUGCCCUUUCGGUACUUUUGCUUAUAGACGUAUGCCAUUUGGUUUAUGUAAUGCACCUGCUACCUUUCAAAAAUGCAUGAUGGCUAUAUUCUCUGACUUUUGUGAAAAGAUUUGUGAGGUAUUCAUGCAUGAUUUAUCCGUUUAUGGAUCCUCUUUUGAUGAUUGCUUGAGCAAGCUUGAUCGAGUUUUGCCGAGAUGCGAAGACACUAGUCUCGUCUUGAAUUGGGAUAAGUGCCAUUUUAUGGUUAACGAAGGUAUUGUCUUGGGGCAUAAAAUUUCUGAAAGAGGUAUUGAAGUUGAUAAAGCUAAAGUUGAUGCUAUUGGAAAGAUGUCGUGUCCCAAGGACAUUAAAGGUAUAAGAAGUUUCCUUGGUCAUGCCGGUUUUUAUAGGAGGUUCAUUAAGGACUUUUCUAAAAUCUCCAGGCCUCUGACUAAUCUAUUGCAACAAGAUAUUCGUUUUGUCUUUGAUCAUGAUUGUGUAGAAGCAUUUGAAAUACUUAAGAAAGCUUUGAUUUCUGCACCUAUUGUUCAGCCACCUGAUUGGAAUUUACCCUUUGAAAUUAUGUGUGAUGCUAGUGAUUAUGUUAUAGGUGAUGUUCUAGGGAAAGAGUUGAUAAGAAGUUAA